rnacentral:tRNA from 2 species
GGUCGAGUGGUGUAGUGGUGAUCACGUUCGCCUCACACGCGAAAGGUCUUGGGUUCAAUCCCCGAUUCGACCU